rnacentral:rRNA from 1 species
UACGUAGGGUGCGAGCGUUAAUCGGAAUUACUGGGCGUAAAGCGUGCGCAAGCGGCUUUGCAAGACAGAUGUGAAAUCCCCGGGCUCAACCUGGGAACUGCAUUUGUGACUGCAAGGCUAGAGUACGGCAGAGGGGGAUGGAAUUCCGCGUGUAGCAGUGAAAUGCGUAGAUAUGCGGAGGAACACCAAUGGCGAAGGCAAUCCCCUGGGCCUGUACUGACGCUCAUGCACGAAAGCGUGGGGAGCAAACAGG